CCGUCGUUUACGAUAUGCUUCCUUACCUUCGACUAGGCUAUGUUUCAGAUCCGUCUGAGACGGAGUCCGUGAUUUCUUCUCAAGGCCCCGUAUGUCCAAUGAGCCCAUCCAUGGAACGUGUAGUUCUGGAUCAACUUUCUCACUAUUUUAUAGCUCGGUUAGAUGGUUAUCCCACUACCUUAAGUGAAGAUGAAGCCCUGUUGACAGAUUCCAGCUUGGACCUAAAGAAACAAGUUACUACCCAGCUUGUCAAAUUAGAAAAGAAGAUGCUAAUUGCGUGCCUUCAUGCUACAGUUGAACUGAUAUAGCAGUUACCCAAUAAUACCAUCUCCCUGCCCUGCUUUAUACGCCCCUCAAUUAAUUUAAAGGGCUUUUGUAACUUUAUGGCGAUUUGAAAGUGGGCAUGAACUAGGGAGAUGGAAAGUUAUAGAAGAGUACCGAUUGAUGCACAACAACACCACCAGGUUGUGCAUGCAAAGUGUUUGAUGCAACGCCUGAAUCACUAGUCUCAAGCACUCCUUCAGUCAUGGCAGAGAUGGAGAAGUUAUGUCAGAACAAAAGAGAACUGAGUAGUUUUGAGGUUAGAUGUUUAUUUGAGAAGUUUGCAGAGAUGGAGAAGUUAUGUCGGAACAAAAGAGAACUGAGUAGUUUUGAGAUGGCAAUUAUAAAUUUGGCACGAUGUAGAAAGAGAGGCGUUCAUUCCAUGAAGGCUUCAAGACAAGUAGUGGGGAGUGAUUGCUGAAGUAUUUUUUGAGGGUGCGGUGUGGUGAUGACAAGUAAGGAAGAUUUACUAGUUUAAUUUAUUUACAAAUGAUGAGAGUAAUCUAAAACAUAGAUAUCUACAUAAUUGAACUUAUACAGUGUUUAAUU